rnacentral:lncRNA from 1 species
CGAGCAGUCUCUUAGGAAGACUUCUUCCUCAUCAAGAUCAAUUUUCCCUGCUCCCCUAUUGUCUGGGGAAACCUAUCUCCAGGAGCGUCUUUCUUGAAAGAUCUCAUGACUUUAAAAUCAUCAGUGGGCUUUGUGUAGUCUGCCUGUCAAAAGAGAUAUGUUUACACCUUCCCUGCAUGUGUUAGAGCUAUAAGGUUACGGAGCAGAAUGGCUGAUACGUUUCGGCGCUCCAUGCUAAUACGCACAAAAAAAUGUAUUUAUGAUAAUCAUAUGGACUGUCUGAAACAAUGCAUUCCAACAUCCUGUAACAUAAAUAAGAAAGGUGGAGCCAGCCGGCAGCCAAGUGUUUAUUUGCCAGCGAUCCUGCUCAGCGCGGCGUACCUCGGCUCCGCCGGCUCAGGCUGGCAGCAUUGAACCUGUUGCUGCAUUGGGCGAGUUGUGUUUUGCGAGCCGGGGAAGGAGGGUUGUCUGCUGUCUGGGAGGAGGGCUUUGUCUGUGUGCGCCUUUCUCUCUCUCCUCUCGCUCUCCCCGGCUCUCGCACUCUCGCUCGCUCUCGCUCGCUCUCUCUCGCUCGCUCUCCCUUUCCCGUCUCUGUGGUUUGGAAGCAGCAUAAGAAAGAAGUGUUGAGAGCUGCUCUUAACCCUUUUGGAGGCCGAAGUCAAAAGGGAACUAGAGGGCUUGACGCAUCCUUUACAUCCUGCAUUUACUGUGACCACAGUCCCUCCCUGUUCUCACAAGUGGAGCUCAGCCCUGCUUCCCUUCCUGUUGAUUCCCAGUCAGCUACAUGA